GCUUAUAUACAGGUGCUGCAUGGCUGUCGUCAGCUCGUGUCGUGAGAUGUUGGGUUAAGUCCCGCAACGAGCGCAACCCUUUUCCUUAUUUGCCAGCGGGUUAAGCCGGGAACUUUAAGGAUACUGCCAGUUACAAACUGGAGGAAGGCGGGGACGACGUCAAGUCAUCAUGGCCCUUACGACCAGGGCUACACACGUG
rnacentral:rRNA from 1 species